rnacentral:antisense_RNA from 1 species
AGAGUGAGAUCCUGUCUCUAAAGAAAAAAUAAUUAAUUAAUUAUACAAGUAAUGUAUGAUUUUAUUCCUGUGCUAAAAAUAGUCAAACAACAAAGAUAAUGUGAAAAACUCCUGGAGAAUCCACCCAGUCUGCCAUUGUAGUCUUUUCCCUUGAGAUAACAACCCAUGUAAUCAGUUUGGUUUUUAUUCCUCUGGUUCUUACUCAACACAUUUACAUAUAUGUCUAGUGUAUACAGUAUGUGUGUGUGUAGAUAUGUAUGUACAUAUAUAUCUAUAUAUAUCACAUUGUACAAUUUACGUUAUACUUUCUUCCUCUG